rnacentral:rRNA from 1 species
GAUGAACGCUGGCGGCGUGCCUAAUACAUGCAAGUCGAGCGAACGGACGAGAAGCUUGCUUCUCUGAUGUUAGCGGCGGACGGGUGAGUAACACGUGGAUAACCUACCUAUAAGACUGGGAUAACUUCGGGAAACCGGAGCUAAUACCGGAUAAUAUUUUGUACCGCAUGGUUCAAAAGUGAAAGACGGUCUUGCUGUCACUUAUAGAUGGAUCCGCGCUGCAUUAGCUAGUUGGUAAGGUAACGGCUUACCAAGGCAACGAUGCAUAGCCGACCUGAGAGGGUGAUCGGCCACACUGGAACUGAGACACGGUCCAGACUCCUACGGGAGGCAGCAGUAGGGAAUCUUCCGCAAUGGGCGAAAGCCUGACGGAGCAACGCCGCGUGAGUGAUGAAGGUCUUCGGAUCGUAAAACUCUGUUAUUAGGGAAGAACAUAUGUGUAAGUAACUGUGCACAUCUUGACGGUACCUAAUCAGAAAGCCACGGCUAACUACGU